rnacentral:rRNA from 1 species
CUACGGGGGGCUCCAGUGAGGAAUAUUGGGCAAUGGACGCAAGUCUGACCCAGCCAUGCCGCGUGCAGGAUGACGGCCCUAUGGGUUGUAAACUGCUUUUAUAUAGGAAGAAACCCUUCUACGUGUAGAAGGUUGACGGUACUAUAAGAAUAAGCAUCGGCUAACUCCGUGCCAGCAGCCGCGGUAAUACGGAGGAUGCAAGCGUUAUCCGGAUUCAUUGGGUUUAAAGGGUGCGUAGGCGGGGCAAUAAGUCAGUGGUGAAAUCCUGCAGCUUAACUGUAGAACUGCCAUUGAUACUGUUGCCCUUGAGUAUAGUUGAAGUGGGCGGAAUAUGUAAUGUAGCGGUGAAAUGCAUAGAUAUUACAUAGAACACCAAUUGCGAAGGCAGCUCACUAAGCUAUCACUGACGCUGAGGCACGAAAGCGUGGGGAGCGAACAGGAUUAGAUACCCCAGUAGUC